GAUGAACGCUAGCUACAGGCUUAACACAUGCAAGUCGAGGGGCAGCAUGGUCUUAGCUUGCUAAGGCCGAUGGCGACCGGCGCACGGGUGAGUAACACGUAUCCAACCUGCCGUCUACUCUUGGACAGCCUUCUGAAAGGAAGAUUAAUACAAGAUGGCAUCAUGAGUCCGCAUGUUCACAUGAUUAAAGGUAUUCCGGUAGACGAUGGGGAUGCGUUCCAUUAGAUAGUAGGCGGGGUAACGGCCCACCUAGUCUUCGAUGGAUAGGGGUUCUGAGAGGAAGGUCCCCCACAUUGGAACUGAGACACGGUCCAAACUCCUACGGGAGGCAGCAGUGAGGAAUAUUGGUCAAUGGGCGAGAGCCUGAACCAGCCAAGUAGCGUGAAGGAUGACUGCCCUAUGGGUUGUAAACUUCUUUUAUAAAGGAAUAAAGUCGGGUAUGGAUACCCGUUUGCAUGUACUUUAUGAAUAAGGAUCGGCUAACUCCGUGCCAGCAGCCGCGGUAAUACGGAGGAUCCGAGCGUUAUCCGGAUUUAUUGGGUUUAAAGGGAGCGUAGGUGGAUUGUUAAGUCAGUUGUGAAAGUUUGCGGCUCAACCGUAAAAUUGCAGUUGAAACUGGCAGUCUUGAGUACAGUAGAGGUGGGCGGAAUUCGUGGUGUAGCGGUGAAAUGCUUAGAUAUCACGAAGAACUCCGAUUGCGAAGGCAGCUCACUAGACUGCAACUGACACUGAUGCUCGAAAGUGUGGGUAUCAAACAGGAUUAGAUACCCUGGUAGUCCACACAGUAAACGAUGAAUACUCGCUGUUUGCGAUAUACAGUAAGCGGCCAAGCGAAAGCAUUAAGUAUUCCACCUGGGGAGUACGCCGGCAACGGUGAAACUCAAAGGAAUUGACGGGGGCCCGCACAAGCGGAGGAACAUGUGGUUUAAUUCGAUGAUACGCGAGGAACCUUACCCGGGCUUAAAUUGCAUUUGAAUAAUCUGGAAACAGGUUAGCCGCAAGGCAAAUGUGAAGGUGCUGCAUGGUUGUCGUCAGCUCGUGCCGUGAGGUGUCGGCUUAAGUGCCAUAACGAGCGCAACCCUUGUUGUCAGUUACUAACAGGUUCUGCUGAGGACUCUGACAAGACUGCCAUCGUAAGAUGUGAGGAAGGUGGGGAUGACGUCAAAUCAGCACGGCCCUUACGUCCGGGGCUACACACGUGUUACAAUGGGGGGUACAGAGGGCCGCUACCACGCGAGUGGAUGCCAAUCCCCAAAACCUCUCUCAGUUCGGACUGGAGUCUGCAACCCGACUCCACGAAGCUGGAUUCGCUAGUAAUCGCGCAUCAGCCACGGCGCGGUGAAUACGUUCCCGGGCCUUGUACACACCGCCCGUCAAGCCAUGGGAGCCGGGGGUACCUGAAGUGCGUAACCGCGAGGAGCGCCCUAGGGUAAAACUGGUGACUGGGGCUA
rnacentral:rRNA from 1 species